CAAAAAAAAAACUUUCCCAAAAUCAAACACACAACACUUAGGCAAAAUCAAACAAACAACACUUAAAAUCACAUUCAGAAACAAAAUGAAUUCGAAGCAUCGCUCAUCGUUCUUCGUCUCAAGUAAACUUCGCCGAAACCCAACCCUAUUCUUCGAAAUGGCGAACUCACAACAGCACGCCGGAAAAAAGACCAAAUAAACCCUAGGUCUCGGCUGUACAAACCCUGAAUGCGGAGGAGGAAGGCUGUUUAUUCAGAUGUUGGUCCUUCGACGGUGACUGUAAAUUCACCCCAACCCCCGCCGCAACACAUGCCGCCUCGAAACCCUCUUGUACGAGCUCUGCCUCGAAACCCUCCUGUACGAGCUCCGCCUCAAAAUCAGCCACGUUCGACUCGUGAAGGCGAAAUGUUAGACAUGUUAAGGUUGACACUUACAGCGGCGGACGUCGGGGAUCUUCUCCUACCUCAGAUUUGCUGCCAGUUCCACUGUGAAAUGGGCGCCUCUCCUUAUAUUGUAAAACUGCGCGAGAAAACCCUAAGUUGUGGAUUGGUUUUAGUGGAUUGGUUUUAGUGGAUUAUUGGGCCAAUAAAUUUAAUUGAAAAAGCCCGUUAUGUUGGAAAA